CAAAAUUAAAAACCAUAUCCUAAACUUAGUAAAAUAAAAAACAUUCACUGCAACGUAAAAGAAGCCACAAAAGGGAGAAGUAAAAUCUCUUUCAGAGAGGACAUCUGAUUUCUAUUUAUGUUCUGUGACUGCUUACAACUAUAUCUCUUCGACAAUAUGGACAGUCACCACAAGUUCGAAUCCAGGGAUCCAAGCAGGCAAAGUGGAACCUAUGCUCACACGGUAGGCGAAUAAGCUUAUCUCCUUCCUUAAAACUUUCAAGACAUAUGCUACAAUCCCAUGAAACUUGGGAAACUUCCCCUUCAACAACACCCCUUUCCAGGUUGCUAAAUACCUCCAAUGAUAAUCUGUCAAGAUCCUCUGCAUUUAGACCAGGUGGUUUCUUCUUGUAUGAUUCCUGCAUGAAUUGCAGCCUUUCUGUUUGAGAAGUUGGGUCAGUGAAAGGAGUUCCUCUGGCAGACCACCUUGAAGCAAUGUCAGUUCCCCAGUCUCCCGCAUCAACAACCCUUGAGUCAUCCCAAAAUGUAUGCUCUCUGUUAUCAAUGUCAAAUGACACUCUGCCACUUCGCCUGUUUCCAGAAAGUGACACCCCUCUCAAUCUCUCAACAAGUCUUGCCCUAGCAAGUAGCACACCUCUAGGAAGCCUUUCAUUUCCAGUCAAUCUAGGCCUGCUUGUGCUGCUUAUAGUUUCUGAGCUAGUACUGUUGCUUGGCACAAACAGACUUGUGCUGUGAUCAAGCCAACCUGAGGCAGGUUCAGUGUGGGAAGGCAGGCGAUGGCACAGGUGCCGCACAUGAGAAGAUCUCCUGAGAGGAUCACAACCGUCUAAAUCGUGCCGUGUAUGAUUAUGAUACUGAUGGUGGUGUUGGCGAGUAUAAUUAAGGUGAAAAUUGCGAUCAGAACUGGAAGGAUCAAGCUCCAGAUCGGCGGUGGUGGCUCUGCCCACUCGCGACCUCCUCUGGUAAAACAGCUCCGAUGCGCUCGUCAUGCACUAAUACAAACGCAACAAUGCACAAUCCGAUCCGAGAUUCGCAUAUAAAGAAAAAAGGGAAAGGGAUUUGGAAAUGAAAAUAUUGAAGAAGAUAUUAUUUCCCGUGAUGGGCGCUUUCAACUUCCACCCGUUUGACUUCAUGUAAAAUGGUGUU
rnacentral:misc_RNA from 1 species